CAGGCUUAACACAUGCAAGUCGAGCGGCGGACGGGUGAGUAACGCGUAGGAAUCUACCCAGUAGCGGGGGAUAGCCCGGGGAAACCCGGAUUAAUACCGCAUACGCCCUUAGGGGGAAAGAUCUUCGGACCUCGCGCUAUUAGAUGAGCCCAAGUCGGAUUAGCUUGUUGGUGAGGUAACGGCUCACCAAGGCGACGAUCCGUAGCUGGUCUGAGAGGAUGAUCAGCCACACUGGGACUGAGACACGGCCCAGACUCCUGCGGGAGGCAGCAGUGGGGAAUAUUGGACAAUGGGCGAAAGCCUGAUCCAGCCAUGCCGCAUGAGUGGCGAAGGCCUUAGGGUUGUAAAGCUCUUUUGGCGGGGACGAUAAUGACGGUACCCGCAGAAUAAGCCCCGGCUAACUUCGUGCCAGCAGCCGCGGUAAUACGAAGGGGGCUAGCGUUGUUCGGAAUCACUGGGCGUAAAGCGCACGUAGGCGGGUUUGUAAGUUAGGGGUGAAAUCCCGGGGCUCAACCUCGGAACUGCCUCUGAUACUGCAAGCCUAGAGUCCGAGAGAGGUGAGUGGAAUUCCUAGUGUAGAGGUGAAAUUCGUAGAUAUGUGGAGGAAUACCGGUGGCGAAGGCGGCCUCCUGGCUCGAUACUGACGCUGAGGUGCGAAAGCGUGGGUAGCAAACAGGAUUAGAUACCCUGGUAGUCCACGCCGUAAACGAUGUCUACUAGCCGUUGGGAGACUUGAUUUCUUAGUGGCGCAGCUAACGCACUAAGUAGACCGCCUGGGGAGUACGGCCGCAAGGUUAAAACUCAAAUGAAUUGACGGGGGCCCGCACAAGCGGUGGAGCAUGUGGUUUAAUUCGAUGCAACGCGAAGAACCUUACCAGGUCUUGACAUCCUGAGAACUUUCUAGAGAUAGAUUGGUGCCUUCGGGAACUCAGAGACAGGUGCUGCAUGGCUGUCGUCAGCUCGUGUCGUGAGAUGUUGGUUAAGUCCCGUAACGAGCGCAACCCU
rnacentral:rRNA from 1 species